rnacentral:rRNA from 1 species
CCUACGGGCGACAGCAGUGAGGAAUAUUGGUCAAUGGGCUUACGCCUGAACCAGCCAAGUCGCGUGAGGGAAGACGGCCCUAUGGGUUGUAAACCUCUUUUGUCAGGGAGCAAGGCCGGCUACGUGUGGCCGGACGGAGAGUACCUGAAGAAAAAGCAUCGGCUAACUCCGUGCCAGCAGCCGCGGUAAUACGGAGGAUGCGAGCGUUAUCCGGAUUUAUUGGGUUUAAAGGGUGCGUAGGCGGAAGGUUAAGUCAGUGGUAAAAUCUCGGGGCGCAACCUCGCUCGGACGUUGAAACUGGUGUUCUUGAGUGGGCGAGAGGUAGGGGGAAUGCGUGGUGUAGCGGUGAAAUGCAGAGA